CCUUAGAGUUUGAUCCUGGCUCAAGAUGAACUCUGGCGGCGUGCUUAACACAUGCAAGUCGAGCGAAGCAUUUUGGAUGAAGUUUUCGAAUGGAUUCUGGAAUGACUGAGCGGCGGACGGGUGAGUAACGCGUGGAUAACCUGCCUCAUACAGGGGGAUAACAGUUAGAAAUGACUGCUAAUACCGCAUAAGCGCACAGGACCGCAUGGUCUGGUGUGAAAAACUCCGGUGGUAUGAGAUGGGUCCGCGUUGGAUUAGGGAGUUGGCGGGGUAACGGCCCACCAAACCGACGAUCCAUAGCCGGCCUGAGAGGGUGGACGGCCACAUUGGGACUGAGACACGGCCCAAACUCCUACGGGAGGCAGCAGUGGGGAAUAUUGCACAAUGGGGGAAACCCUGAUGCAGCGACGCCGCGUGAGUGAAGAAGUAUUUCGGUAUGUAAAGCUCUAUCAGCAGGGAAGAAAAUGACGGUACCUGACUAAGAAGCCCCGGCUAACUACGUGCCAGCAGCCGCGGUAAUACGUAGGGGGCAAGCGUUAUCCGGAUUUACUGGGUGUAAAGGGAGCGUAGACGGCUGUGCAAGUCUGAUGUGAAAGGCAGGGGCUCAACUCCUGGACUGCAUUGGAAACUGUGUAGCUUGAGUGCCGGAGAGGUAAGCGGAAUUCCUAGUGUAGCGGUGAAAUGCGUAGAUAUUAGGAGGAACACCAGUGGCGAAGGCGGCUUACUGGACGGUAACUGACGUUGAGGCUCGAAAGCGUGGGGAGCAAACAGGAUUAGAUACCCUGGUAGUCCACGCCGCAAACGAU
rnacentral:rRNA from 1 species